UUAUCUCCUACUCUUCCUCUUCUCUUAUAGAUUACUCUUUUUCUCUAUUUUUGAAACCCAAAUUCCGAAGGGUCUGCUAUUUCUUUCCCAGUAUAUACCCAUUUCCAUAGUAUAAUUCACAAAAUUUUCAGAAGAUGGAUGAUCAUGCUAGUGAGUAAUUAAUAGAAAUUCAAGAAUUAACAGUAUUAAAAUGGGUACCAAAAUAUAAGAUACUUCCAGCAAUAACUAAUCAAUGCAACAAUCAUAGGAAUGGUUCCCUAUGACAUACAUGGAUUUAUUCCUGGAUUACAGAUUGUGAAAUCUAAGUUUUCUCCAUUACUAAAGAUUGUCAUAACCAGUCAAUGGAAAACAAAACCUUCCCAUAUCCUUGUCAGAUUCUUUUCAGGGUUUCAGAAGUAAAUGCACUUAAUACCGAAUUGCGUACUCAUUAUUAGUUUUUGAUUUUCAGUUACAAACCCUGCAUUGUGGUGUUAUCUGAAUUUUCUAUAAUAAUCUGGAUCCAUAUAAGAAAGAAAAAAUAGUUGUUGUAUUCUUAGUUGUUGUUGCCUCAUCUACUUCAACAAUCCCCAGUAAGAUAUUUUGAAAUCAAAAAGAGUAAACAAGAGUGGAUGACUUUCCACUAUAGUUGCAGAACCUUUAUUUAUUUGAUGAAAUAUCUAUAAACAGUUCCAAGAAACUGAGAUAUCUACCAGCAAGGGUGUGGUGCCCCAACAGAUGCUGCCAUGCUGGUAAUCCUUCAUUUCCCAACUAGAGGUUAUGUACUUCAGCAUUGAUAGGUCAAGAUUGCCCAUGUUCCAAGUAUAUAGAUAAACUUUUCAUUCCUAUGCUAAGCUCAGAGAAUCUAAAAUUGGUAUUUUUGCUCAAAUGUCCUUAUGUUUAAAUAUCACUUUGAAUGGACUAGCUUAUGCACUUAAUUUUUAUUUCCAUAAUUCUUGUUCAAAAUUGUGUGCUCAUAUACUGUAGCAUAUUUUUCUGCAUAGCAUACUUAGAUCUUCGAAUUUUCCAUCCAACAACAAAAAUCAAGUACUUUGGUUGAACAUUCAAUUCUAAACUUCUUGAGAUUAUUUGUGUGUGUGUAUUCUGGUCUACCAACAAUGCAUUGAUUAGGGCUCUUUAGUUACUACUACAUUGUCCUCACUGUUAAGUUUUCACUAACCAAUUUUGGAUUAAUUAGGGCUCUUUCAUUAGUCAUAUUUAAGCUUCUCCAAAGUUUAUUAAUGUUAUGAAUUCAUCUGAAGUUAGUUUUAAAAAUGAGAAAUACUCGGUGGCAAAUUAUUUAUUCUAUUUUAAAUAGAUUUGUAGAUGACCUUAAAGUCCGGUUUGCUGUACAGUGUGCACUAGAAGGAAGUAUAACUUGAGAUUCAAAUCAAAUUAAACGAGACGGUUAACAACUUUUUUCUUUUGAGAUCAAAUUAUAAUGUUGGGUCAGCUGGAACCAUAACUUGAAUGCACCUGCAAGUGUCAAUUGGGUAUAUUUGGUGUCACUUCAACCAUGCAUCAAGAUUCCUGACAAUUCGUCCGCUGUUCAAAUCCUAUGUUAUGGUUUCCUAACUUAAAGUCUUUAUAGCAGUGACUUUAGCAGUUUUCUAGAUUAUGAGACGUCUGCAAGAAAUUGAAGAGCCCAAUUAAGAAAAGCAACUUGAAACUCAAAUUUGAUGCAUGUUUUUUCUCCGUGAUCAAGUUAUGCUCUAAGAUAUACAUUUGGUGACUUUCCAUAUUGCACACUCAAUUGAUUGUUAAAAUCAUUUCACAGAUAAUCACGGCUACAAAUCUCUGCAAAGAGCACGUAAUAGUAAGCUUCAAUUAAUGGAUUUUCAAAUUUCUCUGACAGUCUUCACUUAUUGUCAGUCUUGUUGUCUUAACUAAGAGGCCAACCUGUUUGAGUGCACCACUUCAUACCACCGUAUGGAGGGUAAUAGCCUACAGAUUGCAGAUAAGGCAAUGGACAUAAGUCUCUAUAAGCCGAAUUUUGUUUGUAAUUUUUUGAUGAAUACAGUAUGUGUAUUACUUAGAAAUAUUACUGAAAACUUCUAUCAAUGAAAUUGUCUAUGACUAAAAAUCUAAAUUAUCAUAGCUGGGCUUUUAUCCAAUUUGAAUUGUAUUCCCUACAAUUAAAGCCUCAUUGUCAGUGAUAAGUUGAAAUAAGAUAAGUAGUUUUCUUGCCAUAGGAUAAUGAUUAUUUUGUGAGAAUUUGCUAACUGAUUUGAAAAAAUUGAGGGAGGCAUCACAAA